rnacentral:misc_RNA from 1 species
GAAAGGUUGGAGUAACAUCAUUGCCGCCCCUUGGAUGUUUACCAGCAGCUAUCACAAUAUUUGGCUCUGAUAGUAAUGAAUGUGUGGCCAAGUUAAACAAGGAUGCAAUUUCCUUCAAUAACAAGCUCAAUGCCACAUCUCAGAGCCUUGUAAACAAGCUUUCAGGCCUCAAUUUACUUGUUUUCGAUAUCUACCAACCUCUCUAUGAUCUUGUUACAAAACCUGCUGAUAAUGGAUUUGUAGAGGCAAGAAAGGCUUGCUGUGGAACAGGGUUGCUAGAAACAUCAAUAUUGUGCAAUUCGAAAUCUGUGGGAACAUGUGCAAAUGCAUCCGAGUAUGUGUUCUGGGAUGGUUUUCAUCCUUCAGAGGCUGCAAACAAAAUCUUAGCAGAUGAUUUGCUUACCAGUGGCAUCUCUCUCAUCUUUUAACAAUAAUAAUGCUUGGAG